rnacentral:sRNA from 1 species
GCAGAACUAGGCGCGCCGCGGCCCGGCACGCGCAGGCGCACAGAGCUGCCCGGGGGUGCCAGUUCCUCUCCGAUUCCCGGCUUCUGUCACCUUCCUCACGGACCUUGGUCACGGCCGCAGGUGACCCCUUAGCCCAGCUCCAGUAGGCGGGUGGCAGGGUCAUGGAGGACGCUGGCGGCGGCGAGGAGACCCCGGCCCCGGAGGCCCCGCACCCCCCUCAGCUCGCGCCUCCGGAGGAGCAGGGGUUGCUCUUCCAGGAGGAAACCAUCGAUCUUGGCGGAGAUGAGUUUGGAUCCGAAGAGAACGAGACCGCAUCGGAAGGCUCGAGUCCUCUCGCGGACAAGCUGAACGAACACAUGAUGGAGAGCGUCCUCAUCUCUGACUCCCCCAACAGCGAGGGCGACGCGGGCGAGCUGGGCCGAGUGCGGGACGAAGCUGAGCCCGGAGGGGAAGGCGACCCAGGCCCGGAGCCCGCGGGCACCCCGAGUCCCAGCGGCGAGGCCGACGGCGACUGUGCCCCCGAGGACGCGGCACCCAGUAGCGGAGGGGCCCCGAGGCAGGACGCGGCCCGCGAGGUCCCAGGCAGCGAAGCCGCGCGCCCGGAGCAGGAGCCUCCCGUUGCGGAGCCGGUCCCGGUGUGCACCAUCUUCAGCCAGCGCGCGCCCCCAGCCUCCGGGGACGGCUUCGAGCCGCAGAUGGUGAAGUCGCCCAGCUUCGGUGGCGCCAGCGAGGCCUCGGCCAGGACACCGCCCCAGGUCGUGCAGCCCAGCCCCAGCCUCAGCACGUUCUUCGGAGACACGGCCGCCAGCCACUCCUUGGCCUCGGACUUCUUCGACUCCUUCACUACCUCCGCCUUCAUUUCCGUCAGCAAUCCCGGCGCGGGAUCCCCGGCCCCCGCCAGCCCGCCUCCCCUCGCUGUGCCUGGGACCGAGGGGCGCCCCCAACCCGUGGCCAUGCGAGGGCCCCAGGCAGCUGCGCCCCCGGCGUCGCCAGAGCCUUUCGCGCACAUCCAGGCAGUGUUUGCAGGGAGUGACGACCCCUUUGCCACCGCCCUGAGCAUGAGCGAGAUGGACCGGAGGAACGACGCCUGGCUUCCCGGGGAGGCUACGCGUGGAGUCCUGCGGGCCGUGGCCACCCAGCAGCGCGGCGCCGUGUUCGUGGACAAGGAGAACCUCACCAUGCCGGGCCUCAGGUUCGACAACAUCCAGGUGAGCCCGGGUCUCCCACCUCCGCAGCUCGUGCCUCCUCCCUGCGUCUGUGAGAUACGCACAGUGCCCCUCAAGGGAUGGAGAAGGCCGUGUUUUCAGUAGUUCCUGACAUCCCAUUGUGAGCGUCUGUGUUCCUCCGUCCCUGGGUAAUUAGGGAUCUGUUGGUUUCCCCAACAGAACAUAUUUAAUGGACUGCUACUCAGAGAGGUGGAAAUAAAUACCACCAAGGCAGACAGUUCUACCGUAAUUCUCUCAGUCAGUUCUCCAUGUCCUGUAAUCCAUUUGACAUUUGAACUCCAGUUAAUAAUAAAUCCAUUUCUUUCU